rnacentral:rRNA from 1 species
AGCAGCCGCGGUAAUUCCAGCUCCAAUAGCGUAUAUUAAAGUUGUUGCAGUUAAAAAGCUCGUAGUUGAAUUUCGGGAUCAGUACGCUGGUCGUGCCUUCGGUAUGCACUGGUUUCACUGAUUCCUCCCUUCUGAAGAACCGUAAUGCCAUUCAGUUGGUGUGGCGGGGAAUCAGGAUUGUUACUUUGAAAAAUUAGAGUGUUUAAAGCAGGCUCGCGCUUGAAUACAUUAGCAUGGAAUAAUGAAAUAGGACGUUUGAUCCUAUUUUGUUGGUUUCUAGGAUUGACGUAAUGAUUAAUAGGGAUAGUUGGGGGCAUUAGUAUUCAAUUGUCAGAGGUGAAAUUCUUGGAUUUAUUGAAGACUAACUACUGCGAAAGCAUUUGCCAAGGAUGUUUUCAUUAAUCAAGAACGAAAGUUAGGGGAUCGAAGACGAUCAGAUACCGUCGUAGUCUUAACCAUAAACUAUGCCGACUAGGGAUCGGAUGAUGUUAAUUUUUAAUGACUCAUUCGCG